GCUUUCUACAAACCUUUGAUCAAUCUUUCUUUUUCCCACUGGUCUCAUUUUUAAAGGCACUGAUUCUGUUCUGAGGACCAAUCAUAUGGAUAUGAAAAUUCAUGAAGAAACUUCAUCAGCAAACGUAUCAGUUGGAGACUGAAGUUCCCCACUCAUCUUGUCGCCACUCUCAUCUUUCAGGGGUAAAAGAAGAAAAUGUUCGCUUUCAGAAGGUACCUGCAGGAGUCCUGGAGCUUCAGCCAGUUGCUCAGCCUUCUCUUUUCAUCAGUACUCUUUACUAUUUUACUGUCAUACUGUAAACUUCCAGAUUCUGUAGGAUAAAACAAACCCCCGCCCAUUCUGUGUGCUGUGAAAAGAAACAAAAUUAGCUUUAAAAGUAACCAUGAAACUGUGGCAUUCCAUAAAUUGCAAAUUAUAAAUGUGUGUUACAAUACUAAAGAUCCAAUAAUCUCUUGGCAGCUUUUUUGAGCAGAAAAUCUUUUUUUAAGUUAAUGUUAUAUUGAGGCCUUUGCUUUGGGGAGAGAAUAAGAAGAGUUUUAAAGACAUUUUUCAGAAUCCUAGAUUUGUAACCCUUUCUCUUUUCCAGAUUUACCGUGUAAUCUUUAAUCUCUGGAAAACUUUGAUUUAACAUGUUAUCUAAAGUUAUUACUUUAUGGUUUCAAUGCUGCAGCCAGAAUGCCAUGCAUUUUGUGGUGCCUAGAAAAUUACAAAUAUCUCUGUCUAUUUAGGUGAGAGGUUCCUUUCAUACUGUUUGUUCCCCCUUGUUUUUUAACUCUACACAUAAAAACACUAGAAAAUGUGAUAGCACAUUUUUAGCAACUUGAAAUUGUAGUGGAUUGUAUAUGAAUACUAAAUAUAAGAAUGUCUGCUUUAAUUUUUACAAUUAACUACGUCUCCUUUUAGGUUUAUUUCGUACUAUUAAAUAUGGCUUCUUUAAAAUAAGGAUUCUGAUAAAGAUUCAGAGGUGAUUGCAUUUUAGCCUUUUUCCAAAGACUUGAAGUUAGUAGUCUGUCCCUGUUAUGAUCCUUUAUUCACAUUGGGUAACACUGUAAUCAACUUCACAAUAUUUGCUAAUUUUCUUCUAAGAAUUGGGUUGAAAUUCCAUACUCUCAAGAUGUGAAGCUGCCUAUGGUAUGAAAUAAAAUCCUCAGAGUAAAGGAAUUUUAAAGUGUU
rnacentral:lncRNA from 1 species